UGUGGGAGCGAGCCUGCUCGCGAAGACGGUCUAUCAGUCAGAGAUGAUGUGACUGACACGCUGCCUUCGCGAGCAGGCUCGCUCCCACA
rnacentral:antisense_RNA from 1 species